rnacentral:rRNA from 1 species
UACGUAGGGCGCAAGCGUUGUCCGGAAUUAUUGGGCGCAAAGAGCUCGUAGGCGGCUUGUCACGUCGGGUGUGAAAGCCCGGGGCUUAACCCCGGGUCUGCAUUCGAUACGGGCUAGCUAGAGUGUGGUAGGGGAGAUCGGAAUUCCUGGUGUAGCGGUGAAAUGCGCAGAUAUCAGGAGGAACACCGGUGGCGAAGGCGGAUCUCUGGGCCAUUACUGACGCUGAGGAGCGAAAGCGUGGGGAGCGAACAGG